UUAGUUUGAGAGCCAGCUGACUCAAAUUGAAGUGUUGAAAGUUGAAUGGAUUGAGAGUGUAACUUCCAGCAGCUGCUGCAGAAUCUACGAAUCCAAUUACUACUCGGAAACGUAGUGAGGAGCUUCGAUACUGGUAGACCAAUUUCCUCUAGUGGUAGGUGGUAAUCUGCGUAGGAGUGGUUUCUUCUCACCUUCAACAAUUGAUUCGCCACAAAUACUCGAAUACAGAGUCUCAAUCCAAGUAUACUUGGAGAAGAUGUCAAUUACCACAAGCAGGAAAUUCACACCUGAGUUUUGGCUUUUUAUAUUGGAUACAUCAAUCAAAUCCAUAUCGAACUGAUCAUGUAUUCCUGACACAAUGACUCGAGUUCUGGUGAAGCGUCGUCUUAGUUCCUUUCUCAGACUAUAACUGUCUUGAUUGUGAAGCCAUUUUCGAAUUUUGUGUUUUCCAAUACCCGAUAUACCUUUGGAUUUUAAAACUCUGUAAAGUUUGUCUGGACCUAAAUAUGCACCAGCUUUAGAUAAAUCAUAAUAUGAUUUUCUUAAUAAAUCAUGUACUGUUUU